AUAUGCAACCCCGAUCACUUCAAAGAAGGCGAUGACUAGAAGAGGCACCGUGCCUGCAUAGCUGUCAAAAAUAUCAAUCCAGUAACUCCCCGAACCCAGUGUAAAACACAGAGCAAUGAUGAAACAAAUUAGACAUAUUAUACCUGAAGAAGAAAAGGCAUCUUUGUUACUGGAGUACUGAACUGAACUUGAAAUGGAUGCCACCAGAGGAAACCAAACGAAGCAGAAACUGGCUUGUGUCAGGGCUGGAAUGCUGUCCUUGGACUUCUCUGUCAUGUGAUAACGACUUGUAAGGAGGGAGUGCAAAUGGAUACAAACUUUGAGUACUUUAGGCAGAUGCAGUCUCUAGAACAUUCCUAUUUUAUUUUAUUGGCUCUCCAGAAUAUUUCCACCACCUGUGUUUAAUAAUUCAAUGAAUCUAGUGGAACAGGAAAAGGUAUUGUUUUUUUAACUACUUCUAAUGCUAGUCUGAGAUUGAGAUGUGAUCU